rnacentral:rRNA from 1 species
CGGACGGGUGAGUAAUGUCUGGGAAACUGCCUGAUGGAGGGGGAUAACUACUGGAAACGGUAGCUAAUACCGCACAACGUCGCAAGACCAAAGAGGGGGACCUUCGGGCCUCUUGCCAUCGGAUGUGCCCAGAUGGGAUUAGCUAGUAGGUGGGGUAAAGGCUCACCUAGGCGACGAUCCCUAGCUGGUCUGAGAGGAUGACCAGCCACACUGGAACUGAGACACGGUCCAG